rnacentral:rRNA from 1 species
UACGGGGGGGGCAAGCGUUGUUCGGAAUUACUGGGCGUAAAGGGCUCGUAGGCGGCCAACUAAGUCAGACGUGAAAUCCCCAGGCUCAACCUGGGAACUGCGUCUGAUACUGGAUGGCUUGAAUUCGGGAGAGGGAUGCAGAAUUCCAGGUGUAGCGGUGAAAUGCGUAGAUAUCUGGAGGAACACCGGUGGCGAAGGCGGCAUCCUGGACCAAUACUGACGCUGAGGAGCGAAAGCGUGGGGAGCAAACAGG